rfam:Arabidopsis lyrata subsp. lyrata unplaced genomic scaffold ARALYscaffold_6, whole genome shotgun sequence.
ACCCGAUGAAGAAGAAAUCCCAAAAGAUAGGAAGUGCCGUAUGACACUUAACACAACAGCGUGACUU